UGAGGAAUAUUGGGCAAUGCCCGCAAGGGUGACCCAGCAACGCCGCGUGGAGGAUGAAUGUCGUAAGAUUGUAAACUCCUGUUAGAGGGGAAGAAUAGUACCGGUUGGACCGGUAUAUGACUGUACCCUCAGAGAAAGCCCCGGCUAACUACGUGCCAGCAGCCGCGGUAAUACGUAGGGGGCAAGCGUUGUCCGGAUUUACUGGGUGUAAAGGGCGCGCAGGCGGGAUAAAAAGUCAGUGGUGAAAUCCUACAGCUUAACUGUAGAACUGCCUUUGAUACUUUUAUUCUUGAGUUCGGGAGAGAGAGACGGAAUUCCAGGUGUAGUGGUGAAAUACGUAGAUAUCUGGAAGAACACCAGUUGCGAAGGCGGUCUCUUGGUCCAACACUGACGCUGAGGCGCGAAAGCGUGGGGAGCAAACA
rnacentral:rRNA from 1 species